rnacentral:rRNA from 1 species
AACCUCCGCAAUGUGAGAAAUCGCGACGGGGGGAUCCCAAGUGCCAUUCUUAACGGGAUGGCUUUUCAUUAGUGUAAAGAGCUUUUGGAAUAAGGGCUGGGCAAGACCGGUGCCAGCCGCCGCGGUAACACCGGCAGCUCUAGUGGUAGCAGUUUUUAUUGGGCCUAAAGCGUCCGUAGCCGGUUUAAUAAGUCUCUGGUGAAAUCCUGUAGCUUAACUGUGGGAAUUGCUGGAGAUACUAUUAGACUUGAGACCGGGAGAGGUUAGAGGUACUCCCAGGGUAGAGGUGAAAUUCUGUAAUCCUGGGAGGACCGCCUGUUGCGAAGGCGUCUAACUGGAACGGUUCUGACGGUGAGGGACGAAAGUUAGGGGCGCGAACCGGAUUAGAUACCCGGGUAGUCCUAACUGUAAACGAUGCGGACUUGGUGUUGGGGUGGCUUUGAGCUGCUCCAGCGCCGAAGGGAGCUGUUAAGUCCGCCGCCUGGGAAGUACGGUCGCAAGACUGAAACUUAAAGGAAUU